GGGUCUAACCUCUUCAGGUAGUUCAGAGCUUUCCAAUGCCUCGGUAGAAUUAACCUGUACAGCAGAAAGAGCAACAACAGCAGCUGCCACACAGAGAAGACAACUGUGGAGUGCGAGCCUGUUAAAGCAAGAUGGCUCCUCCUGCUCGGUAACUCUAGCUGCUAAGUGAUGUCAGCAGCGGUCAAAGUUCACCGGGGCUCAAGAUGUCCGCCAGAAGCAGUGGGAGGGCACCGGGAGCAGCCACACAGCCCAGGCCGGGCCGGAUCAACCCCGACCUGUGCGUCCUUUCCGACGCUGCCGCUGAUUGGACCAGACGUUCACCUGAGGAUAGAGCCAGGAGCACCAGGGGCCGCUUUUUAGGUUUUUUUUUACCUGCAGGAAUGAAAAUAAAUUAUGGAGAGCACCCGGAGAGGAGCAUUAUUUCAGCUGUUCUAUAACCCAGCACCAGUCUUUAUCUUUCCACGAGAAGUUAUGGAUACACGGCUGAGUAUUAAAUGGAGCGAUGACAACAUUGUCUGGAUAGGCAAUGAAAAAGCAGGAGGAAUUAUUUGGCUGCUGAGGGACAAUGCAAACCGACAGAAUGAAGCCCCCCCCAUUCCCAAGUCUUGGAGACAUCGGUCCCUGGAGGAAAAGGCCCUGUGCUGAUCACCUGAAGCAGAUCGUCUCCUCCAUUGUCCUGUGGGCGCUCCUGGGUGAUGAAGGUCAUCAGCUCCUGCACGCACUGUUGCCUGGCUGAGGAAGAGGAGCAGCCUGCGGUUGUGAGCCUUGCCUCUU